GGGGAUGUAAUGGUUUCGACAUUAUAUCUGAAGCAUGAAUAGCGAGUAGUGGAUUCUCGUUUGCCACUAUAAAAACGAGAAAUUUAAAUAUAAACGCUGAUAAUAGAGAAUUAGCAUACGCUGCUUAGUUGCAACGUCGCCAAUUAAAAUAUCCCACAUAUUUUAAAUUGGUGUCAUUUUAGUGGGAAACAAAACUAUUUUUUCUAUGGAAAUAGUGGGUAUUUUAAUAGAUAUAUUUGAUAAUCGCUUGUUUAUUUGUGAUUGUUAAAUGAAUAAAAAAAUAAACUGCACUCGGAGAAGUUUGUGUGGAUAAUAUAGUGGACAGGGGUUCGACUCCCCUCAUCUCCACCA
rnacentral:tmRNA from 1 species